rnacentral:rRNA from 1 species
UUUUGGACAAUGGGCGAAAGCCUGAUCCAGCCAUGCCGCGUGCAGGAUGAAGGCCUUAGGGUUGUAAAGCUCUUUCGGCGGGGAAGAUGAUGACGGUACCCGCAGAAGAAGCCCCGGCUAACUCCGUGCCAGCAGCCGCGGUAAUACGGAGGGGGCUAGCGUUGUUCGGAAUUACUGGGCGUAAAGGGCGCGUAGGCGGUGCGGUAAGUUAGGCGUGAAAGGCCCGGGCUCAACCCGGGAACUGCGCUUAAAACUGCCGCGCUCUGAGUCCGAGAGAGGAUAGCGGAAUUCCCAUUGUAGAGGUGAAAUUCGUAGAUAUUGGGAAGAACACCAGUGGCGAAGGCGGCUAUCUGGCUCGGUACUGACGCUGAGGCGCGAAAGCGUGGGGAGCAAACAG